rnacentral:rRNA from 1 species
GAUGACUUCCCGAUUAAGAUAGGACUGCAUCAGGGGUCAGCUUUGAGCCCUUAUCUUUUUGCACUGGUGAUGGAUGAGGUCACAAGGGAUAUACAAGGAGAUAUCCCAUGGUGUAUGCUCUUUGCGGAUGAUGUGGUGCUAGUUGACGAUAGUCGGACGGGGGUAAAUAGGAAGUUAGAGUUACGGAGACGAACCUUGGAAUCGAAAGGGUUUAGGCUUAGUAGAACUAAAACCGAGUACAUGAUGCGUGGUUUCAGUACUACUAGGUGUGAGGAGGAGGAGGUUAGCCUUGAUGGCCAAGUGGUACCUCGGAAGGACACCUUUCGGUAUUUGGGGUCAAUGUUACAGGAGGAUGGGGGUAUUGAUGAAGAUGUGAACCAUCGAAUCAAAGCCGGAUGGAUGAAGUGGCGCCAAGCUUCUGGCAUUCUCUAUGACAAGAGAGUGCCACAAAAGCUAAAAGGCAAGUUCUACAGGACGACGGUUCGACCCUCAAUGUUGUAUGGCGCGGAGUGUUGGCCGACUAAAAGGCGACAUGUUCAACAGUUAGGUGUGACGGAGAUGCGUAUGUUGAGAUGGAUGUGUGACCACACGAGGAAGGAUCGAGUCCGGAAUGAUGAUAUACGAGAUAGAGUUGGGGUAGCACCAAUUGAGGAGAAGCUUGUCCAACAUCGUCUGAGAUGGUUUGGGCAUAUUCAGCGCAGGCCUCCAGAAGCUCCAGUGCAU